rnacentral:lncRNA from 1 species
AUUCUUUCUGAUUACUAUACUUUCAUCAUAUUAUUUUAGUUAUCAACGGUUCUAAUUGGUUCAUCUUUCUCUAAUCAUGCAGACUUAGAGGAAGAAGAUUAGAGUCGGGCAUUGUAUAUUGAAAGCAGGUUUUCCAAGUAACCGUCUGCAUAUUUGUAGAUUACGAUCCUAGCGAGGAAAAUACUAUCUUUGAGAUGGUAUCAUAGAUAUGCAUUGCCCAUUUAUUUUAUUUCUUCAUCAAUCCCACAACAAGAGAGAUUAUAUAAUAGUUAUGGUACGAUCUUAACC